rnacentral:rRNA from 1 species
CCUACGGGCGGCAGCAGUGAGGAAUAUUGGUCAAUGGACGAGAGUCUGAACCAGCCAAGUAGCGUGAAGGAUGACUGCCCUAUGGGUUGUAAACUUCUCUUAUAUGGGAAUAAAAUGUUCCACGUGUGGGAUUUUGUAUGUACCAUAUGAAUAAGGAUCGGCUAACUCCGUGCCAGCAGCCGCGGUAAUACGGAGGAUCCGAGCGUUAUCCGGAUUUAUUGGGUUUAAGGGGAGCGUAGGUGGAUUGUUAAGUCAGUUGUGAAAGUUUGCGGCUCAACCGUAAAAUUGCAGUUGAAACUGGCAGUCGUGAGUACAGUAGAGGUGGGCGGAAUUCGUGGUGUAGCGGUGAAAUGCUUAGAUAUCACGAAGAACUCCGAUUGCGAAGGCAGCUCACUGGACUGCAACUGACACUGAGGCUCGAAAGUGUGGGUAUCAAACAGGAUUAGAUACCCCAGUAGUC